AAAAGAGCACAAGAGCAUGACAAAGCUCACAUAGACUCCCCCUGAACAAAUGCACUCCCCCUGAGAAAAUGCAUGAAAUUUCUCCCCCUUGUUGAAAGAAAUGCAUGAAAAAUCUCCCAAAUUCUCCCAAGAGUCUGUAUGAAUUUCAAUUCUCCCCCUUGUUGGCAAUGCAAACAUCAAGUCAAGCAUGAAAGCCUAAAAAA
rnacentral:lncRNA from 1 species